CAGAGUUGCAAAACUCCCAAACCCUUGUGAACAUACCCGUUACAGUUGCUUCGGUGGGCGGCCCCAGGGCGGGGCCGCAGCCUCUUCUCACGAGGCGCCCGCCGGAGGUAUAUAACUCUUUGUAUUAUGGUCUCUCUGAGUAAAUUUAUAAUAAGUCA
rnacentral:misc_RNA from 1 species